CGUGGAACCUUGGAGAGAGAUGUAGUGGCUUCAUACCAAAGCAAAGAAAAGAAUAGCAAUAGCGUCCUCUCUAUCUCUCUAGCUCAAAAUUCUCUGAAUUACAGAAUGGCUCGACCUAAUCAAGAAGCAAUCGAGACGUUCAUGAGCAUCACUGGUGUACCUGAACCGGUCGCUGUAGAAAAGCUUGAGGGUCAUGGUGGUGAUCUCAAUGCUGCUGUUAAUGCACAUUUCAGUGAAGGAGAUACAAACAUUGGGCAUGGACCAUCUAUUGCUGCUCCUGGAGAUGAUCUCAUGGAAAUAGAUGAUCCAAUUGCAACUGGACCUGCAAGACCCCCUUUGUCACUUCUAUCUGGGGCUGGAGCUGUGAAUCCAUUUUCACUUCUGGAUCCAAGCUUCGGUAGAAUUUUAUUUGAUCCUGGUUCUGAUUUUAUGAACAGUGAGCCAUUUGUUACACAUCCAAGGGAGGUAAGGGAGAUUCCCAUAGAGGUUAAGGAUGGUAGCGAGUCAUCAAGAAGCACAGGCCAAGCCCCUAUCAUUGAAGAUGUAACUGACACUGAUCAUGCACAUGGCCAAGAUGUCCAUGGGACUGUCAUCAUUGCCGAUGACAAUGACAAGAAUGCUCCAGCUGUGCCAAAUCCCCUGGUGGCUGCGCAGAAUGGACCACAAGGUGAUAGUUCUCAUGAUACACGUAUUAGGCCAAGUGCUCCUGAGUUUGAUAGGUAUCCAGAUUAUGGCAAUGACAUUGAAGAAGAAAUGAUUCGAGCGGCUAUUGAGGCUUCAAAACAUGAGGUUCAGGAUUUGGAUGAUUUUGGGCCACCACAAGGGCCUCAUUUAGAUUCAGACCUUGAACAUGCAGUCUCAUUGUCUUUGACGACAGCAGAGCAGGAGCAAUCAUUACGUGAGCUGGGAGGAAAAGCUGGAGCUGCAGAAGUUGGAACCUCUGAGGUGGAACUUGACAAAAUAGCUGUGUCAAAUGGAAGGAUCGAGGCAGGGAGUUCAUUUGUCCCAGAUGAAGUGGAAGAUGUAGAGAAGCAGCCUCUUGUUAGGAACAGAUAUCGGAGAAUGCCUUCUGGCCUUGUGGAAUCUUCUACAGAAGCAGCAGUUGUUGAAGCUAGUCCACCAUCAAGCCAUGGACUGCGUGAUACUGACGACCGUUCACCACACAAUGGAGAUGCCUUCCCUUCAAAUGAGUGGGGAGGUAUCUCUUCUGUGGAGCAUGAUGAAGCAGUCAUGCUUGAGGCAGCAAUGUUUGGCGGAAUACCUGAAGGGACUGGGUAUAAUUUUCCAUAUGCACCACAUCAUUUCAUGCAAGCAUCUCACCCUUAUCCUCGGCCAGUUCCUCGUCCUCUGUCACCCUCUUUGGAAGCUCAGCGUUUGAUACGAGAACAACAGGAUGAUGAGUAUUUAGCAUCAUUGCAAGCUGACCGAGAGAAAGAGUUGAAGGCCAUGGAAGAAGCUGAAGCACGUCAUCUACAAGAAAAAGUGGCGAGAGAGGCAGCUCUUGAGGAAGAGAAACAAAAAGAGGUAGAAUCUCGUCGGAAGUUGGAGGAGGAGCAGGCAACCAUUCUAUGUAGUAAAUACUGCUUCGAAGGUGUUCAUUGUUGCCUUCUGUAUGCUAGCAGGAACUUGAAAGGCUAUUAGCAGCAAAAGAAGCUUUGCUGCCUCCAGAACCGUUACUGGAGGAUGAGAAUGCUGUAACCCUUUUGGUACGAAUGCCUGACGGCAGCAGACAUGGCAGGCGGUUUCUGAAGUCUGACAAGCUACAGGCACUCUUUGACUUCAUAGAUAUUGGUAGAGGGGUCAAGCCUGGCACUUACAGACUGGUGAGGCCGUAUCCAAGGCGUGCUUUCAGUGAUGGGGAGAGCGGUUUGACGUUGAACGAACUUGGCCUGACUAGUAAACAAGAAGCCUUGUUUCUGGAACUUAUUUAGGGAUGCCCAUGGGCCUCACAAUCGUAGAAUAUUACUUAUUUAUCGUUUUAGUUUAUUAUGAUAUGAAGUGAUGCUGGAAAUGUGAGAUUUCAUUUGGGUUUAAGGUUUGGACAAGGAGCAUGAAACUUUAAGUAGAUGAACACAUUCAAACUAGCAUGAAAGGGUGGAACAGUUACAAUUUGGUGCUGCUGGAGGGAGUGCUUCUGUAUAUCCAUAUUUAUUCCUGAUUGGGAGGAAAAUAUUGGUAGAACUUAAAAUUUAUUGGUCAUGCUUUUUGGAAUGAAAACUCUAUAAAGCCCUAACAAUUUUUUUCAAAA